rnacentral:rRNA from 1 species
UACGUAGGGUGCAAGCGUUAAUCGGAAUUACUGGGCGUAAAGCGUGCGCAGGCGGUGAUGUAAGACAGAUGUGAAAUCCCCGGGCUCAACCUGGGAACUGCAUUUGUGACUGCAUCGCUGGAGUGCGGGAGAGGGACGUGGAAUUCCAGGUGUAGCGGUGAAAUGCGUAGAUAUCUGGAGGAACACCGGUGGCGAAGGCGACGUCCUGGACCGGCAUUGACGCUGAGGCGCGAAAGCCAGGGGAGCAAACGGG